GAUUGGCUACCUCCUCAUAACCAUAAGAUAAUUAAAACUUGGCGCGGGGAGGGGGGGCAGGGUUAAAAAAACUUUUUUUUAUCAGUCAGAGGAUAAUGCAAGUGUUUAACAGAUGCUUCACUAUUAAAAUAUUUUCCCCCCAAGUCUCAAAUACUGAAGAAUCUCUAACCAGGGACACCAGCCCCAACGAAGACCUUGGGCGAUUUCAAAGUGCGGGCAUCUCGAUUCCCCGAAUCUGUAGUGUGGCUGGUAUCGGUGUUCCCCUGGUUUAACUAGCCUGUUUGGCAUAAUAAAUGAGACCCAAGUGCUCAUAGAACAUUCCAAAGAGUCAACAGAAUUGGAAAGUAUUAGAAACAUGAUUGUGUUUGCAAAGGGAGACAUAAAUAUGGGGAAAUUGAGGCAGAGAAGCCAAGACAUGUGCUAAAGGUCAUGCAGGCUAUGAAUGGAGCUGGAAUGUGAACGCAGGCCAUGUGACUCCAGAGCCCAUGUCCUUGAACCCUUAGAAAGACAGCAGCAACACACCCGGUGCAGCAGCUGCUUAGUUGGAGUGGCUGACAAGAGAUCUUGGCAAAUGGGUGCUUCUUCUCAGAAAGGGACUUUUCCCCGUGACUGCAGUUGAAUUACAGUUGUAGAGACAUCCAGGUUCUUGUUAGUGUGGAUGAACUAUCCAUGAAGAUCUUAAAUGCAGGAGUCUGUGAGAACACCAGUUAAUCAAUUGUCAAAUAUUCGAGUAUCUAUUG